rnacentral:rRNA from 1 species
GCUGUAAGGAAGACCUUGCUUCUCUGGAUGAGUUGCCAACGGGGGAGUAACGCGUAGGUAACCUGCCUGGUAGCGGGGGAUAACUAUGUGUAAACGAUAGCUAAUACCGUUAAAGAGUAAAUGUUGCAUGACAUUUGCUUACCAGGUGCACUUGACUCACUACCAGAUGGACCUGCGUUGUAUUAGCUACUUGGUGGGGUACCGGCUCACCAAGGCGACGAUACAUAGCCGACCUGAGAGGGUGAUCGGCCACACUGGGACUGAGACACGGCCCAGACUCCUACGGGAGGCAGCAGUAGGGAAUCUUCGGCAAUGGACGGAAGUCUGACCGAGCAACGCCGCGUGAGUGAAGAAGGUUUUCGGAUCGUAAAGCUCUGUUGUAGGAGAAGAACGAGUGUGAGAGUGGAAAGUUCACACUGUGACGGUAUCUUACCAGAAAGGGACGGCUAACUACGUGCCAGCAGCCGCGGUAAUACGUAGGUCCCGAGCGUUGUCCGGAUUUAUUGGGCGUAAAGCGAGCGCAGGCGGUUAGAUAAGUCUGAAGUUAAAGGCUGUGGCUUAACCAUAGUAGGCUUUGGAAACUGUUUAACUUGAGUG